rnacentral:rRNA from 1 species
UACGUAGGUGGCGAGCGUUGUCCGGAAUCAUUGGGCGUAAAGCGCGUGUAGGCGGCCCGGUAAGUCCGCUGUGAAAGUCCAGGGCUCAACCCUGGGAUGCCGGUGGAUACUGUCGGGCUCGAGUCCGGAAGAGGCGAGUGGAAUUCCUGGUGUAGCGGUGAAAUGCGCAGAUAUCAGGAGGAACACCAAUGGCGAAGGCAGCUCGCUGGGACGUGACUGACGCUGAGACGCGAAAGCGUGGGGAGCAAACAGG